rnacentral:rRNA from 1 species
UAAAGAGCCGCGGUAUUUUGACCGUGCUUUGGUAGCAUAAUCAUUAGUUUCUUAAUUAGAGGCUUGAAUGAAUGGUUUGACGAGAAAUUAACUGUCUCUUAAUAAAUUUUAGAAUUUAACUUUUAAGUUAAAAGGCUUAAAUAUUUCUUUAGGACGAGAAGACCCUAUAGAGCUUGACAUUUAUAAAUUUUAUAUUAUUUUAGGUUAUCUUUUUAUGUAAUUUUUUAAUGUUUGGUUGGGGUGACAUGAAGAAUAAUUAAACUCUUCAUUAUAAAAUCAUUGAUUUAUGUUCAUUUGAUCCAUAAUUUAUGAUCAAAAGAUUAAGUUACCUUAGGGAUAACAGCGUAAUCAUUUUUGAGAGUUCAUAUCGACAAAAUGGAUUGCGACCUCGAUGUUGGAUUAAGAUUAAUUUUAGGUGUAGUA